rnacentral:rRNA from 1 species
UACGUAGGGGGCAAGCGUUGUCCGGAUUUAUUGGGCGUAAAGAGCGUGUAGGCGGUUCGGUAGGUCCGUUGUGAAAACUCGAGGCUCAACCUCGAGACGCCGAUGGAAACCCUCGAGCUAGAGUCCGGAAGAGGAGAGUGGAAUUCCUGGUGUAGCGGUGAAAUGCGCAGAUAUCAGGAAGAACCCCCGUGGCUAAGGCGGCUCUCUAGUACGGUACUGACGCUGAGACGCGAAAGCGUGGGGAGCGAACAGG